rnacentral:rRNA from 1 species
UACGUAGGUGGCGAGCGUUAUCCGGAAUGAUUGGGCGUAAAGGGUGCGUAGGCGGCCUGCUAAGUCUGGAGUGAAAGGUACCGGCUCAACCGGUACAGGCUCUGGAAACUGGCGGGCUAGAGAGCAGGAGAGGGCGGUGGAACUCCAUGUGUAGCGGUAAAAUGCGUAGAUAUAUGGAAGAACACCAGUGGCGAAGGCGAUUCUCUGGACUGUGACUGACGCUGAGGCACGAAAGCGUGGGGAUCAAACAGG